AUUUUUACAACGCGCGGCUAAACAAGAAAAACACAGAGAAGCAAAAUACUGAAAAUAAGUAACGUCAUGGGAAUCAUGGCUGAUUCUACAAAUGUAUUACCAGAAAUCCCCCAUGAACAAGGUUUUAUCAGUUUCUAUGGAAAUCUUCCAGAGAUACAUGCCCUACCCUGCGAUUUUUCGGUCGAGGGGAUAUUUUUUACCAAUUAAGAGCAAGAUGUCCUUUUUGCUUCAAGAGAUUACUUCAAAACACAUAGUGUCGUCAAGAUGUUGGGGUGUAUGGAGCUAAGAGGUUGGAAUCGGUGGUCUUUAACAAAAGUCACUUUGAGAACUUUGCAUGUGAUGUAGUCAGCAAGCACUACUGCAUUGAAAUUUACAAUGGAUCCAAAAGUGACUGGUCUCUCCAAUUUCAAGUAAG